rnacentral:misc_RNA from 1 species
ACAGAGAAAUUUAGGACGCAUCUCCAUAAGAAGCUCUCAAAGAAGGACAUUUAUGGAGAUUCACUUGAAGAGGUGGUCGGAAUCUGCACUGAGGUGCUUCAUUUCCCUCAAAACUAUGUUAUUUUCGCUGAUACACACCUGUUAGUAGAUUUCAACUAUGACUCUUGUUGGUUUUUCUUAUCAUCAUUUAGCUUCAUAUAAGCCUAAUCUUGUUGUUUAGCGUAAGUUAUCAUGCUAGGUAAGUUUUUUUGCUUUUGUUUUACACAUAAGUAGCACUAAUGCUUUGUUGUAAUCAUGCAAUAGUUUUCUGAAAUGCAUGAUGAAUGCAGUUUCAAGACUGCAAAUUUCACAUUGGGGCAUGCUAUCUUGAAUAUGUUGAGUAAAAGUAAUUGAGUUGAUUUUUUGGUUUUAAAAUCCUCAAGACAUCUAAGAAAACUGUUUCAAAUUGCUUUUUGCAACAUCUAAAAUGUUGCUUCUUCCAAAAGUGGAUUUUAAUCCCACUACCAAGUCCAAACAGGCUCAUAGUCCCUCUGCAGCCUGCAAUUACCAUCGAAUUUUAACAAACGAUGGUUGUGUAGUAGGACUAUUAAGCCAACAAUAGCACUUUGGCAUUGUUAAUCUGGCCUAUUAAGCCUUAAUCUAAUUUCAGAAACACCCAGCCACAUGCACUGAUAAUCACAAGAAUCUUCUUGACAUAUUAGUUAGUCUUAUCCUGCACUAUAAAUGGUUUAAUUAGAAGCACUGAAACAACCAACAGGUAAGGAAGUUAUAAACUUGUGAAGAUUGGGAAGUCGAUGGAGUGGUGAUUUUUACCAUUCUGCCAUAACUUUUACGGUUUAAAUGUGCAUUUAUGACUUCUGACCAUUGACUGCCAAGUUCCUGAGUGGUUUCUCUGCUUGAUAAC